GGCCCUAUCGUCUAGCGGUCUAGGACGUCGCCCUUUCAAGGCGAAAACACGGGUUCGAGUCCCGUUAGGGCCA
rnacentral:tRNA from 1 species